ACGCUCGACACCUACUGGAGGCAGCAGUGGGGAAUAUUGCACAAUGGAGGAAACUCUGAUGCAGCGAUGCCGCGUGAGGGAAGAAGGUUUUCGGAUUGUAAACCUCUGUCUUUGGGGACGAUAAUGACGGUACCCAAGGAGGAAGCUCCGGCUAACUACGUGUCAGCAGCCGCGGUAAUCUGAGGCGGGCUGGCAAGGC
rnacentral:rRNA from 1 species